ACGGGUGAGUAAUGUCUGGGAAACUGCCUGAUGGAGGGGGAUAACUACUGGAAACGGUAGCUAAUACCGCAUAACGUCUUCGGACCAAAGUGGGGGACCUUCGGGCCUCACACCAUCGGAUGUGCCCAGAUGGGAUUAGCUAGUAGGUGGGGUAAUGGCUCACCUAGGCGACGAUCCCUAGCUGGUCUGAGAGGAUGACCAGCCACACUGGAACUGAGACACGGUCCAGACUCCUACGGGAGGCAGCAGUGGGGAAUAUUGCACAAUGGGCGCAAGCCUGAUGCAGCCAUGCCGCGUGUAUGAAGAAGGCCUUCGGGUUGUAAAGUACUUUCAGCGGGGAGGAAGGCGAUAAGGUUAAUAACCUUGUCGAUUGACGUUACCCGCAGAAGAAGCACCGGCUAACUCCGUGCCAGCAGCCGCGGUAAUACGGAGGGUGCAAGCGUUAAUCGGAAUUACUGGGCGUAAAGCGCACGCAGGCGGUCUGUCAAGUCAGAUGUGAAAUCCCCGGGCUUAACCUGGGAACUGCAUUUGAAACUGGCAGGCUAGAGUCUUGUAGAGGGGGGUAGAAUUCCAGGUGUAGCGG
rnacentral:rRNA from 1 species